rnacentral:misc_RNA from 1 species
GAUGAAGAACGUAGCGAAAUGCGAUAAGUAGUGUGAAUUGCAGAAUUCAGUGAAUCAUCGAAUCUUUGAACGCACAUUGCGCCCCUCGGUAUUCCGUGGGGCAUGCCUGUUCGAGCGUCAUUUAACCCCUCAAGCCUAGCUUGGUAUUGGGUGCUUGUCCCGCCUCUCGCGCGGCGACUCACCUCAAAGUCAUUGGCAGCCCGCAUCUCGCCGGCCGUGAGCGCAGCACAGACGCGCUCUUGGCAACGACGGAUCGGCUCUCCAAAAGCUUAUUUCAACCACUGACCUCGGAUCAGGUAGGGAUACCCGCUGAACUUAAGCAUAUCAAUAAGCGGAGGA